GACGAACGCUGGCGGCGUGCUUAACACAUGCCAGUCGAACGGAAAGGCCCUGCUUUUGUGGGGUGCUCGAGUGGCGAACGGGUGAGUAACACGUGAGUAACCUGCCCUUGACUUUGGGAUAACUUCAGGAAACUGGGGCUAAUACCGGAUAGGAGCUCCUGCUGCAUGGUGGGGGUUGGAAAGUUUCGGCGGUUGGGGAUGGACUCGCGGCUUAUCAGCUUGUUGGUGGGGUAGUGGCUUACCAAGGCUUUGACAGGUAGCCGGCCUGAGAGGGUGACCGGCCCCAAUUGGAACUAGGUACGGCCCCGACUCCUACGGGGGGCAGGAGUUGGGAAUAAUGGAACAAGGGGCGAAGGCUGAUGCAGCAACGCCGCGUGCGGGAUGACGGCCUUCGGGUUGUAAACCGCUUUCGCCUGUGACGAAGCGUGAGUGACGGUAAUGGGUAAAGAAGCACCGGCUAACUACGUG
rnacentral:rRNA from 1 species